GCUAACAAGGUCCAGGUGAAAAUCUAGAAGCGCGGGUGACUUGGCUGCAAGUACCUGGGAGUGAUCAUGAAUUUGCAAUUGCCCUUUAAUGUUUGAACUUCAGAAUAGCAAAACAUAUCAGCAGCAAGCAACUAGAGGAUGGAAGUAAAAAACAAGUUGAGAAAGCAUUAAUAGCCCUUUAAAGUUUCUCAAUCGUGACACUGAGGCAGUGAGUUAGAACAGAGAAGCAUUCACUUUACUUUUCUGGGAGUUGAGCCAUAAUCCUACAGUAAAGAUAUCAGCGUACAACAUAAAUAUGAAUAAUAUUUUCAAAAAGCAGAAAUUGCAGACCUCCAUGUUAUUAACUGUGAUUAAACUCACAGGAUUUCAAGUGUUUAGAGGGCCGGCACAGCUAAAAUUAGAAUGGUGCAUUCAAGAUCAAUUGUAGAAGCAGAAAGGAAUGGUCCUGACGGAGCUUGAGAAGAUGCAUCUUGAUGCCAUUAUGAUUGCAACGAAGAAUAAAUUUUUUAUUGACAAUAAGCAUCCUCAGCACAACCCUGAAGGCUGAAGCUUCAAAGAAAUGUUCUAUACAAAUGGCAUGCUGAAGUGAUUUGGACCAUUCUAAUAACUCACGUUUUGCAUUAAGAAAGCUAAAGUUCAAUAAUUCAGGGGGAGGAGUUUCUGAAAUACAUCUCCUUCAAUCCAGUAAUGAUAAAACUAAUUUACCUAAGUAGAUUUUCCAGCAUCAACCAAAUAUAUUUUCAAAAAUCAAAUUGUCACCAAAUACAUACAUUCCCAGUCCCAGAUAUAAAACUCAGAAAUGCAAAAAUCAUUUUUCUUCCCCCAACUAUCCUUGAUUUACAAACAAUAGCAGGCACAAAUCUUUAAUUUCCUCCAUAUUCGCCAUAUCAACCAAAUCAGGAAUAAGCAAACCAACAAUAAGUAAGAAAACAAGCGUUCAAAAGCCUUUAAUAAACAAAUAAAUACACUAAACAUACCUUGCAAAGGUAAUGCAUAAG
rnacentral:misc_RNA from 1 species